GACGAACGCUGGCGGCGUGCUUAACACAUGCAAGUUGAACGGAAAGGCCCUGCUUUUGUGGGGUGCUCGAGUGGCGAACGGGAGAGUCACACGUGAGUAACCUGACCUUGACUGUGGGAUAACUUCAGGAAACUGGGGGUAAUACCGGAUAGGAGCUCAUGCUGCAUGGGGGGGGCUGGAGAGUGUCGGCGGAGGGGGAUGGACGGGCGGCUUAUGAGCUGGUGGGUGGGGGAGUGACUUACCAAGGCAUUGACGGGUAGCCGGCCGGAGCGGGUGACCGGCCGCAUCGCUGCUGCGAUGACGCCCCGACUCCUCCGGGAGGCAGCAGUAGGGAAUAAUGCACAGCGGGCGGAGGCCGGAUGCAGCAGCGCCGCGUGGUGGAUGAAGGCCUUCGGGUUGUAGUCCGCUUUCGCUUUUGACGAAGAGUGAGUGACGGUAACUGGUAAAGAAGCACCGGCUAACUCCGUG
rnacentral:rRNA from 1 species